AUUGAACGCUGGCGGCAGGCUUAACACAUGCAAGUCGAACGAGUGGCGGACGGGUGAGUAAUGCUAGGGAAUCUGGCCCAUGGAGGGGGAUAACGACGGGAAACUGUCGCUAAUACCGCGCACCAUAGGAUGAGCCCAGGUGGGAUUAGGUAGUUGGUGGGGUAAUGGCCUACCAAGCCGACGGUCCCUAGCUGGUCUGAGAGGAUGACCAGCAACACCGGGCCUGAGACACGGCCAAGGCUCCUACGGGAGGCAGCAAUGGUGAAAAUUGCGAAAUGGACGACAGUCUGACGGAGCAACGUGGCGUGGGGGAUGACGGCCUUCGGGUUGUAAAGGUCUGUUGAUCGGGAGACGGUACCGGAAUAGAAAGCCACGGCUAACUACGUGCCAGCAGCCGCGGUAAUAC
rnacentral:rRNA from 1 species